AAUAUGACGGAGAAGGAAUGAGUUAUUUUGUACUUCAAGCUAUCUGAAAAUUAUGAGGAACUUCCGCUUCAUUUUAAAGAAAAUAUCAGGGAUUAGAGGUUUCCCGAUAGAUACCAUUGCACCCUACAGGGAAAGAUUGAACAUCUUGGGCCGACUCACAAACUUAGAGGAUCUUCAGUUGAGUUCCGCUGAAAGGAAGCUUAUGAGUGCUUAUAACGAGAAGCCCGUUCUCUCACGUCCCCAACAUGAAUUUUUCUUGCUUGCUGAAAUAACAGUCAUGCUGGUGCUGACUCAAAUGACCACUUGUAUACGCUGGUGGAACACAUGGCUGAUGGUGGCAAAUCCGUAACUAAUAAUGAGGCGUUGGGGGCAGACGAUGAAGCCGAAACAUAUCAGUGGCUUCAGUUGAAGAUCAGUUAAGAAAAUAAAUGACCGUGUAUGAGCCUUCAUGCGUUUCGUAUGGAUACCCUUAAAUCCGGUUAUGGACCCGUGGGUGAUUUUUUAGUGGAUGAACGGAAUUGGGUUUCCAUACCAUCGCAAAAGAAAGAUGUAAUGUAGACGGAAAACGCGUGUUUAGAAGCUCAACAGAGUGAAAUAAUCACCAAUACUCAUCAGAGUGAUGAUGAUAUCGUAACCAGUGAAGUCAUAACACAAGAUGAUGAUGAUGCUAAAUCUAUGUAUUUCGAGUUACAAUUUAAAACAAGUACAUAACACUAAAGGUAACACUUUUACCAAUUUAGAAACAAGAGUGUGAUGUAAAUUAUAUGUUUUAUGUAUAGUACUAAAUUUAGGUAACACGUCUUCAAGCAUCUUUGAGUUACUAUGAUAUGAAAGACUACUCGAAUGAAAGAUGGUUGAG